rnacentral:rRNA from 1 species
AUGGCGCUGUCCGCGUCGGCGGCGUCGGCGGGGAGGGGCGCGCGGGCCGAGAAGGUGCGCAGGAUCUUUGAGCGCUUCGACGCCAACGGGGACGGCGGGCUCGACCGGGCCGAGAUGGCCAAGCUCGUCGUCGCCGUCAACCCGCGGGUCAAGUUCAGCGACGACCAGAUCUCCGCCAUCCUCGACGAGGUCUUCCGCACCUACGCAGAGUUCAUCCUCCCGGGGGGCCAGGGCCUGUCCCUCACCGGCCUGCUCCGCACCUACGACGACGGCGCCGGGGACGUCGACCGCGACUUCCUCGCGCUCUCCCUGCCCGCCGUCGACUCCGACGCCUCCUCCCCCGAGAUCGGGCCCGGGGACGCCGCCGCCUCGCCCUCCCCGACCUCCGGCGCCGCCGUCGCCGCCUCGCUGCUCGACGACCACCUCAGGCCGCUCGGCAUCGGCGGCACGGGCCCCUCGUCCAGCUCCCGCGCCGCCGUCGCCGCGCCGGCCUGGGCGACCUCGCCCAGCCACGGGAUUGCGUUCGAUUCCUCCUGGGCGCUCCUCGACGACCUGGAGAUACUCGUCAAGCGCCUCCGCUCCAAGCAGCUGCGGAAGACCUCCUCCAUCGACACCAGCGGGGGCGGCAGCAAUCUCGACUCCUUCUCCGAGGCCGGCUGGUCCAGGGAGAUCUCCGCCUCCGCCGAUUCGGGUUUGGCGUCCGCGCCGUGGGACGAGACGAGCCGGGACUACCUCACCUUCGUCAAGGAGCUCGCUGUUCUCCGCACGCGCGCGGACGCCUCCCGCUCGCGCGAGGAGGCCUUCGACAACCACAUGGUCAUCGGCCGGGCGCUCUCCGAGCACCGCCUCUUCCGAGACGCCCUUGCCAGCUUCCGCCGUGGCUGCGAGCUUCAGCCCACCGACGUCCGCCCGCACUUCCGCGCUGGUAACUGCCUCUACGCCCUGGGCCGCCACGCCGAGGCCAAGGAGGAGUUCCUCCUUGCCCUCGAGGCGGCAGAGGCAGGUAACUCCCAGUCCGCGGACAUUCUCCCGCAGAUCCAUGUCAACCUUGGUAUUGCAAUGGAGGCUGAGGGGAUGGUACUUGGUGCCUGCGAGCACUAUCGAGAGGCUGCCAUACUGUGCCCAUCCCAUGCCCGCGCGCUGAAGCUCCUUGGGAGUGCACUCUUUGGUGUUGGGGAAUACCGUGCAGCCGAGAAGGCACUGGAGGAGGCCAUCUUCCUGAAGCCAGACUAUGCUGAUGCGCACUGUGAUCUUGGGUCAGCCUUGCAUGCAGUAGGGGAUGAUGACCGUGCAGUUCAGGAGUUCCAGAAAGCAAUUGAUCUUAAACCUGGGCAUGUUGAUGCCUUAUACAAUCUUGGUGGAUUGAACAUGGACGCAUGCCGAUUUGUGCGAGCUGCGGAGAUGUAUACUCGUGUGCUGAGCAUCCGACCAAACCAUUGGCGUGCUCAGCUAAACAAGGCAGUUGCUUUGCUUGGGCAGGGAGAGUCCGAGGAGGCCAAGAAGGCACUCAAGGAAGCAUUUAAGAUGACACAAAGGGUGGAGGUGUAUGAUGCCAUCUCACAUCUGAAGACACUGCAGAAAAAGAAGCCAAAGCCUUCAAAAGGAAAACAUGAUGCUCAAGGAGAGGAAGCCUUUGUUAUUGUAGAAGCAUCCAAGUUCAAGAGGGUUGGAAGUAAGACCACACUGCGGCAGGAUUUGGCCAAUGCCCUUGAUAUAAGGGCCUUCGAGAGGACGACAAAGCUUGGCCACUGUGAUGCUGAGCUUCUGAGGAAAGAGAUGAAUGAGACUGAUGUCCCCGUAUCCUACUCAGGCACUGGCAUCCCAGAGAAGUCGAUCAGGAAAGCAGCUCUUGAGGUUAUUCUUCGCAGGCUCCUAUCUUUCCUCAAGCCAGAUACCUUCCAGGGUGCUGUCAAGGCAAUGAACGAAAGAAUUCUCUCGGUCCUUGAUGCGUCUGGCUCUGGCCGCGUUGAUCUUGGGAUGUUCUUUGCUAUCAUUGCUCCAAUCUGUUCUGGUCCUGUGGAUAGGCGCAAGCGUGUCGUCUUCGAUGCACUCCUUUGGCGUCCUGCAAGCGAAGGUGGCAGGGGCCAGAUCAGGAGGAGUGACGCGCUAAGUUACAUUAAACUUCUCCGUGCCGUUUACAUACCAACCCAUGGGGCUAGCGACAUGCUUGAAAUGCAUGGGGAGUCUGACCCUACCAUGGUAUCGUACACAGAGUUCCUUGAGAUGUUCAAUGAUCCUGAUUGGGGUUUUGGAAUUCUAACCACACUGGUGAAGCUUGAAGACAGUGAUCAUGUUCGCCACGGCAGCCACACCUGCUCCGUAUGCAGAUAUCCUAUCAUCGGUUCACGGUUCAUGGAAACAAAACACUCCUUUAGCUUGUGUAACCGGUGCUACAGUGAAGGGAAGGUUCCAUCAGCCUUCAAGUUGGAGGAGUACAGGUUCAAAGAAUACAGCAAUGAGUCGGAGGCUCUUGUAGACAAGUGCAUGUGCUUUAAUUUGAAUUCUAAGAAGCUGGAAGCUGAUGCUUGA